UUUAGGUCUCAGUGAGAUGGAUUAGAGGUGUGGAGUCCAGUUGUGAUAAGCUGCUUCUGAAAUGGCUCCCAAUGAUCAUUGCCUCUUGUUACUAUGUCCUAAGCUGUCCUGUCAAGAGGCAAGGAACUGAGUGCAGCCUCAGCCUAACGCCUAGUGAGAAACUGAAGCCUUCAGACCAACAACCUCAUGAGCAGGGCUGGCAGCAGAUCCUUCUCAGACGGAACCUUGAGAUGACUGCAGCCCAGAUGACAACUCGACUUUCACCUUGUGAGAGACCCUGAGCCAGGGGACCCAGCUAAGCUGUGCCCAGAUUCCUGACCCACAGAAUGGUUGAGCCAAAUCCAUGUUAUUAUUUCCCCUUGUGGCCAUCAUUCCUGAAGAGGAUACUGGAACAAACCAGAAAGUACCCAAAGAAAGACUGUUAGUGGGGUGAGAGGUCUGGAAAAUACGUCAUAUGGAGAACAGGUGAACGAAUUAAGUGAAUUCUACUGAAAGACCCCCUUCCUCCUUGGUAAAGGCUUGUUUUAGCAACCUGAUGUCCCCACAGCACCCCCUCUCCCCUUGCUGAAGGCUUGAUUGUCCCCAUAGCCAGAUGGCAACACAUACCAGGAUGUCUAUUGUGUGUGAUCACCCGGUCUGUCAAGAGAAAAGACAAAUGAGGAAUAGAGUGUACCUGGGACUUUCCAGAGUGCUGAGCCAAGGCCCUCCAGAACAGACCGUUGUGUCCUUGCCUUAAACCCAGUGCCUGACAAUGCUUGAUUUAAGUUAACCAAUCAGAUCCCUGUAACCAAGCAUCUGCUUCUGUAAACUCGCUUCCCGCCACCCCAACCUUGCCCUAUAUAAUCUGCUCCCCAACUUAUCCCGGCACGCUCAGUCCACAAAGGCUAAUGCGUCCGCAGGCGCCUGUGUAACCAAUAAACCUCUUGCAGUUUGCAUCCAGUGGAGGCGUGCUGUUCGAUUCUUGGGUGCGGCUCCAGGGUCUUUCACUACCUGAAAAGUUUAUCUAUCAUGAUUUUUUUUUCACAUCUAAAAGAAAGAUGGUAUUUGAAAAGAAGCC
rnacentral:lncRNA from 1 species